rnacentral:tRNA from 1 species
GCUCUUAUGGUGUAAUGGUUAGCACUCUGGACUUUGAAUCCAGCGAUCCGGGUUCAAAUCCCGGUAGGGGCU